GGGGAUGUAGCUCAAAUUGUUUGAGCGCUUAUGUAUGCUAAUAAGAGGAAGGGGGAUCGAUACCUCCCAUCUCCA
rnacentral:tRNA from 1 species